rnacentral:rRNA from 1 species
AUUGAACGCUGGCGGCAUGCUUUACACAUGCAAGUCGAACGGUAACAGGCCUUCGGGUGCUGACGAGUGGCGAACGGGUGAGUAAUGCAUCGGAACGUACCCAGAGGUGGGGGAUAACGCAGCGAAAGCUGUGCUAAUACCGCAUGUGAUCUGAGGAUGAAAGCGGGGGACCGAGCAGCAAUGUUUGGCCUCGCGCCUUUGGAGCGGCCGAUGUCGUAUUAGCUAGUUGGGGGGGUAAUGGCCUACCAAGGCGACGAUCCGUAGCUGGUGUGAGAGGACGAUCAGCCACACUGGGACUGGGACACGGCCCAGACUCCUACGGGAGGCAGCAGUGGGGAAUUUUGGACAAUGGGCGCAAGCCUGAUCCAGCAAGGCCGCGUGCGGGAAGAAGGCCUUCGGGUUGUAAACCGCUUUUGGCAGGAACGAAACGGUGUCCGCUAAUACCGAGCGCUAAUGACGGUACCUGCAGAAUAAGCACCGGCUAACUACGUG